rnacentral:rRNA from 1 species
CAUGGCUCAGGAUGAACGCUGGCGGCGUGCUUAACACAUGCAAGUCGAACGAUGAACCUCACUUGUGGGGGGAUUAGUGGCGAACGGGUGAGUAACACGUGAGUAACCUGCCCUUGACUCUGGGAUAAGCCUGGGAAACUGGGUCUAAUACCGGAUAUGACUCCUCAUCGCAUGGUGGGGGGUGGAAAGCUUUUUGUGGUUUUGGAUGGACUCGCGGCCUAUCAGCUUGUUGGUGAGGUAAUGGCUCACCAAGGCGACGACGGGUAGCCGGCCUGAGAGGGUGACCGGCCACACUGGGACUGAGACACGGCCCAGACUCCUACGGGAGGCAGCAGUGGGGAAUAUUGCACAAUGGGCGAAAGCCUGAUGCAGCGACGCCGCGUGAGGGAUGACGGCCUUCGGGUUGUAAACCUCUUUCAGUAGGGAAGAAGCGAAAGUGACGGUACCUGCAGAAGAAGCGCCGGCUAACUACGUGCCAGCAGCCGCGGUAAUACGUAGGGCGCAAGCGUUAUCCGGGAUUAUUGGGCGUAAAGAGCUCGUAGGCGGUUUGUCGCGUCUGCCGUGAAAGUCCGGGGCUCAACUCCGGAUCUGCGGUGGGUACGGGCAGACUAGAGUGAUGUAGGGGAGACUGGAAUUCCUGGUGUAGCGGUGAAAUGCGCAGAUAUCAGGAGGAACACCGAUGGCGAAGGCAGGUCUCUGGGCAUUAACUGACGCUGAGGAGCGAAAGCAUGGGGAGCNAACAGGAUUAGAUACCCUGGUAGUCCAUGCCGUAAACGUUGGGCACUAGGUGUGGGGGACAUUCCACGUUUUCCGCUCCGUA